UUGAGAUUUCAUUUUGUUGCCCUUGGAUUGCAAACCUGUAUCAUUUAAUGUCUUUGGAUAUCCCAGGAACAUAUGCUUAAAUUGCCUAGUAGCAAAUGACCAGCACUAGUAUGUUUGUUCCUUGAUGUAGGGUACAGGGUUUGGAUUCACAGCCUGCUACAUGGGUUGCCAAGUUUUGUCACAAAGGAUGGAGUCACCAUUGAAGACCUUUAGGUACAUAUCUAACAAGGAAUGAGAGUAAAUUUGUUUCCUCCAAAAUCCUAAUAUAGUGAAGCUAUUCUCCAUCAGACAGCAAAUUUACUUAAGACGUCCUGCUCCUAUAAAACACAUGCAUAGUGGUGCACAUACAUCUCGCACGAAACUGAUGAACUCCUUGACCAUUCAAACAAAGAGAAAAAUUCAUUAUGCAGCAGAUUCACCAGGAAAAUCUUCAACCUCUUUAGCUUAGAGUAGCGGAAAAAUCAUGUUUGACCAGAAAUUAGACUAGAGAAUAAUGUAACUUGCCAUCUGGAUGAAAGGAGUUAUGAACAGUUAUGUUAGAUGCAGCUAAUAUAUCCCCUCACCCACAGCACAAUAGGAAUAUCCAAGUCUUGAUGACCAGUAUUUAUUGUUUAUUUCGAUUGAUACUUCACAUGCUUAACAGUAAAAUCUUUCAUUCCUCGACAUCUAUAACAACAAAAUCACGAUAUAAGACAAAUUCCUAGAAAACAUGAUAACAAGAUGAAAACAUACCAUUCUCUUGCUGUUUGAGCUCAGAAACCUACAAUAUACAAUAGAUCGUGUUCAUCUGUUCGAGCACAGUGACAUCCCUGCUGAUAAUGGACAUUGCCCCCAGUCUUCAUGCCGCAAUUCAACAUAAGAAAAAUAUUUUUUUUCCCACAUGCAUGGUUUAAUUUAAGCAAUAAUAUUCAUCAAAGUCUGAACCAAGUGCAUAAGAAUUUUACUUUAUUUUAUUUUAUUUUUUUCAAAACGAGAGAAAAAUCACACAAUUCUUUUGGAAAAAUAUAAAAUAAUAAGCUUCAUCAAAUGCAGGAGAUGCACAAACAUUGAAACUUGAAAGUAUCGAUCCCAAGCUGUAGUAAUUUCUUUGUGGCUACACCAGAAUAAUUCAAGUAUGCUAGUGACGUCUGUGGUUUGGGCAGCAAGUCACAUGACUGCAAUAUUAGAGCACGAAGCCAGGAACAAAUUAAGAACUAUAUAAUUGCCAGUGAAUUGUGAAAGUAUAACAGCUGUCAACUAUAUAUUUCACGUAAAUGAUUCUGCUUGUAACCAUUCAUUAGUAUAAAAUGAUGGCAAGAAGCAUACUGGUAAUCAAAAUGUGCUCAUGUCAGCAAUGUAAUAUCAAACCUCACCUUUGCAGCGUUAAAUGAAUUAAAAACAUAAAUAUGGAAUCUCUUUGUAGCCAGAGCAUAUCAUCAUCAGCCUCAUGGAAUACAUAGACCUCAGAUACCAUCAAUGACCAGAAGACAAAACUUAAGAUUGAAACCAAACCUGUAAACGUUUGUCCUUGUAAUGCAACAUAAGUCAUAUGGGCAUGACUACUUUACCUUGCAAGCACCAGUAUCAGCAAAACUGAGAGUCUGAUACAGAAUUCCCAUCGCAUCAUGUAAUGUGAUUGUAUCCAGCAGAUGAUUUUCAUUUUGAGUGGAAGUCUACUCAUGCAAAGAAAAAAUAAUGAUCCAAUGUGCAUCACGGCAAAACCACAAGAAAUACACACGAUAAGUAAAAGAGAAUUGGAAUGCUUAUAUCCUGAAUUAGAACAGUAAAACCUAGAAAGCAUGGUCUUUACAAAACAUAUACUUCACUCAUUUCCUUCAAAUCUAUGCUGAUAUUUAUAUCAAAUUCAAAACCAACUCAAGGAUUCUCUAUCAAAGCUGUAAUCUGUCUUUCAUAUGGAUAAAAAUUUGAAGAUAUCAUAUCUCUACCAUAGCAUCAAAAUUUGAAUAUUGAGUUAGGCCGUUUAUCAUCCACUGCUCAAUUUUUAUUAUCAGCUUCCAGUGAAAGCAAACAGAGCUUAAAAGCUAAUCACCGUACAGUCAAAGUUCAAGUUUCAAAUUGUCUCAAUUUUCUCAUCAAACAAACAGAUAGAAAAAUUUAAGAUCACUUGGAAGGCAUUUUUGCUCCAGCAUUGCCUGGUGAAAAAGGAUUGAAAGUGGUACAAGAGAAGCUACAGCCACUGUCAUCCAAGAUUAGCAACUCACAAAACACAGAAA
rnacentral:misc_RNA from 1 species